GACGAACGCUGGCGGCGUGCUUAACACAUGCAAGUCGAACGGAAAGGCCCUGCUUUUGUGGGGUGCUCGAGUGGCGAACGGGUGAGUAACACGUGAGUAACCUGCCCUUGACUUUGGGAUAACUUCAGGAAACUGGGGCUAAUACCGGAUAGGAGCUCCUGCUGCAUGGUGGGGGUUGGAAAGUUUCGGCGGUUGGGGAUGGACUCGCGGCUUAUCAGCUUGUUGGUGGGGUAGUGGCUUACCAAGGCUUUGACGGGUAGCCGGCCUGAGAGGGUGACCGGCCACAUUGGGACUGAGAUACGGCACAGACUCCUACGGGAGACAGCAGUGGGGAAUAGUGCACAAUGGGCGGAAGCCUGAUGCAGCAACGCCGCGUGCGGGAUGACGGCCUUCGGGUUGUAAACCGCUUUCGCCUGUGACGAAGCGUGAGUGACGGUAAUGGGUAAAGAAGCACCGGCUAACUACGUG
rnacentral:rRNA from 1 species